GUGAGGAAUAUUGGUCAAUGGCCGAAAGGCUGAACCAGCAACGCCGCGUGAGGGAUGAAGGUCUAAGGAUUGUAAACCUCUGUUAGGAGGGACGAAUGGUUUCGUAAUGAACUUACGGGACGUGACGGUACCUCCAGAGAAAGCCCCGGCUAACUCCGUGCCAGCAGCCGCGGUAAUACGGGGGGGGCAAGCGUUGUCCGGAAUUAUUGGGUGUAAAGGGUGCGUAGGCGGAAUGGUAAGUCAGAAGUGCAAUGCUCAUGCUUAACAUGGGCGCUGCUUUUGAUACUGCUGUUCUUGAGUGCAGAAAAGGGAAGUAGAAUUCUCGGUGUAGCGGUGAAAUGCGUAGAUAUCGAGAAGAAUACCAGUAGCGAAGGCGGCUUCCUGGUCUGUAACUGACGCUGAGGCACGAAAGUGUGGGUAGCAAACAGGAUUAGAUACCCUGGUAGUCC
rnacentral:rRNA from 1 species